UGGGGAAUAUUGCACAAUGGGCGCAAGCCUGAUGCAGCCAUGCCGCGUGUAUGAAGAAGGCCUUCGGGUUGUAAAGUACUUUCAGCGGGGAGGAAGGGAGUAAAGUUAAUACCUUUGCUCAUUGACGUUACCCGCAGAAGAAGCACCGGCUAACUCCGUGCCAGCAGCCGCGGUAAUACGGAGGGUGCAAGCGUUAAUCGGAAUUACUGGGCGUAAAGCGCACGCAGGCGGUUUGUUAAGUCAGAUGUGAAAUCCCCGGGCUCAACCUGGGAACUGCAUCUGAUACUGGCAAGCUUGAGUCUCGUAGAGGGGGGUAGAAUUCCAGGUGUAGCGGUGAAAUGCGUAGAGAUCUAGAGGAAUACCGGUGGCGAAGGCGGCCCCCUGGACGAAGACUGACGCUCAGGUGCGAAAGCGUGGGGAGCAAACAGG
rnacentral:rRNA from 1 species